rnacentral:snRNA from 1 species
GUGCUCACUUCAGCAGCAUAUAUGCUAAAAUUGGAAUGAUACAGAGAAGAUCAGCAUGGCCCCUAUACAAGGAUGACACACAAAUUGGUGAAGUGUUCUGUAUUUUC